rnacentral:rRNA from 1 species
GACGAACGCUGGCGGCGUGCUUAACACAUGCAAGUCGAACGGCAAGGCCCUGCCAUCGUGGGGUGCUCGAGUGGCGAACGGGUGAGGAACACGAGAGUAACCUGCUCUUGACUUUGGGAUAACUUCAGGAAACUGGGGCUAAUCUCGUACAGGAGACCCCGCUGCAUGGUGGGGGUUGGAAAGUUUCGGCGGUCGGGGAUGGACGCGCGGGUAAUCAGCUUGUUGGUGGGGGAGUGGCUUACCAAGGCUUUGACGGGUCGCCGGCCGGAGAGGGGGGCCGGCGACAAGGGUACUGAGAGAGGGCGCAGUCUCGUACGGGGGGCAACAGGGGGGAGUAUUGCACAGUGAGCGGAAGCCGGAUGCAGCAACGCUGCGUUCGGAAUGACGUCCUUCUGGUUGUAAACCGCUGUAGCCUAUGACGAAGCGUGAGUGACGGUAAUGGGUAAAGAAGCACCGGCUAACUACGUG